rnacentral:rRNA from 1 species
AAGCGCUUGAAGUCAGUCGCGUCUAUCAGGACUCAGCCUUGCCUCUAGCUUGGCGCACUUCCUGAUUGACGGGCCAGCAUCAAUUUUGACCAUUGGAAAAGGGCCCAUGGGAAGGUGGCAUCUCCGGAUGUGUUAUAGCCCGGGGUCGUAUACUUUGGUUGGGAUUGAGGAACUCAGCAUGCCCUUGCGGUCGGGGUUUACCCACGUAUCAUGCUUAGGAUGCUGGCGUAAUGGCUUUAAACGA